AUUGAACGCUGGCGGCAGGCCUAACACAUGCAAGUCGAGCGGUUGAAGGGAGCUUGCUCCCUGAUUCAGCGGCGGACGGGUGAGUAAUGCCUAGGAAUCUGCCUAUUAGUGGGGGACGACGUUUCGAAAGGAACGCUAAUACCGCAUACGUCCUACGGGAGAAAGCAGGGGACCUUCGGGCCUUGCGCUAAUAGAUGAGCCUAGGUCGGAUUAGCUUGUUGGUGAGGUAAUGGCUCACCAAGGCGACGAUCCGUAACUGGUCUGAGAGGAUGAUCAGUCACACUGGAACUGAGACACGGUCCAGACUCCUACGGGAGGCAGCAGUGGGGAAUAUUGGACAAUGGGCGAAAGCCUGAUCCAGCCAUGCCGCGUGUGUGAAGAAGGUCUUCGGAUUGUAAAGCACUUUAAGUUGGGAGGAAGGGUUGUAGAUUAAUACUCUGCAAUUUUGACGUUACCGACAGAAUAAGCACCGGCUAACUCUGUGCCAGCCGCCGCAGUAA
rnacentral:rRNA from 1 species